ACACUUUAUAGUGAGAUGCUUCAUUAGCUUAGGUGAAAAUAAGAAAAUCUCAGAUAAACCGCAAUGUUCAUCAGUGAUAAUGUCAUAUUAUACAUUAAUGACAACAGAUCUACAACUUGUUGACAUUAACAGAUCAUCACUUUUUUAAUAUCUUCUUGAGUGAUUCAUUCACUUAUUAAUCAUCACUCAAGAGAAUAAAUGAUGUGAUUUUCUCUUUAUCUUCUUCUUUUUUUCCUGCUCUUGUGUAUCUCUUGCUCGUGAUUUCCAUAAUAGCUUUCUCUUGGUCUCCCUCCAGUUGUUGCAGUUCCUUCUCCCAACGCUCUUCAUCCUUGCCUCGUAGAGAAGACCCGAGGAUUUUAAGUGUCAGAGGAAGGAAACCCGAUAUAUGGACAGCGCGAAGGGAUAGUGAUUCAAAACUAGUGGGAGGGUGUUGCUGGUCAAAAGCAGAGUGAGAAAAUAGUUGAAGAGCUUCGUCGUAUCUCAGAGACUGAACUUCAUAAGCAUGCUCCACACCAGACUCAACUAACAGGUUCCUGUCCUGUGUAACAAAGAUCACUCUACUUCCUGGAAUAAACCAGUGAGCAAGGUAUACUAUCUCCUUUAACUGUUUGAUGUUAUCAACGCAAUCAAUCACGAUCAGACCUUUUCGGUGUCCAAAUGUUGAUUUGAUUUUAUCAAUCCCCACAUCUAAACCCUGUGUUGUACCUUUUUCUGUUAACAACUUUAACAGAUCCCGGUCUUGGUGACAAAUCUUUUCAGCCUUGUCUACAAACACAUGAACUUUGAAGUUGCUAGAUAUUUCUUCAUAAGCGUACCUCGCUAGCGUCGUCUUGCCAAUGCCUCCUGGACCCCAAAUUCCUAUCAAACGAACUUCUUCAGCAGCUUUGAAAUCCAGCAAUUUGUAGAGUGUUUGCAUCUGACGAUCCAUACCAACCAGUCCAUCACCUUUGGCUGUUAAUGGCUUUCUAUUCGAGAUACUCAAGAUUUCAUUUGCAAUUAACUCAAUCAUGUCCGCUUCGUUGCUCCUAUGAUAAAAUCAAAAACAUAAAGGGAAAAGAAUCAUGAAUCCGAGUGAAAAAACCCUUGAAU
rnacentral:lncRNA from 1 species